GAUGAACGCUGGCGGCGUGCCUAAUACAUGCAAGUCGAGCGAAUGGAUUAAGAGUUUGCUCUUAUGAAGUUAGCGGCGGACGGGUGAGUAACACGUGGGUAACCUGCCCAUAAGACUGGGAUAACUCCGGGAAACCGGGGCUAAUACCGGAUAACAUUUUGAACCGCAUGGUUCGAAAUUGAAAGGCGGCUUCGGCUGUCACUUAUGGAUGGACCCGCGCCGCAUUAGCCAGUCGGUGAGGUAACGGCUCACCAAGGCAACGAUGCGUAGCCGAACUGAGAGGGUGAUCGGCCACACUGGGACUGAGACACGGCCCAGACUCCUACGGGAGGCAGCAGUAGGGAAUCUUCCGCAAUGGACGAAAGUCUGACGGAGCAACGCCGCGUGAGUGAUGAAGGCUUUCGGGUCGUAAAACUCUGUUGUUAGGGAAGAACAAGUGCUAGUUGAAUAAGCUGGCACCUUGACGGUACCUAACCAGAAAGCCACGGCUAACUACGUGCCAGCCGCCGCCGUA
rnacentral:rRNA from 1 species